AGUAACGCGUAUGCAACCUACCCUUUACAGGCGGAUAGCUCGGGGAAACUCGAAUUAACCCGCCAUAAUAUAAUUGGAUGGCAUCAUUUGAUUAUUAAAUCUGCGGAGGUAAAGGAUGGGCAUGCGUCUGAUUAGUUAGUUGGUAGUGUAACGGACUACCAAGACGAUGAUCAGUAGGGGAACUGAGAGGUUGAUCCCCCACACUGGCACUGAGAUACGGGCCAGACUCCUACGGGAGGCAGCAGUAGGGAAUAUUGGUCAAUGGGUGAGAGCCUGAACCAGCCAUGCCGCGUGCAGGAAGAAGGCCUUCUGGGUUGUAAACUGCUUUUGCCAGGGGAUAAAAAUACCUUGCGAGGUAAAUUGAAGGUACCUGGUGAAUAAGCCACGGCUAACUACGUGCCAGCAGCCGCGGUAAUACGUAGGUGGCAAGCGUUGUCCGGAUUUAUUGGGUUUAAAGGGUGCGUAGGCGGCCCUGUAAGUCAGUGCUGAAAUAUCCCAGCUUAACUGGGAGGGUGGCAUUGAUACUGCGGGGCUAGAGUACAGAUGAGGUAGGCGGAAUUGACGGUGCAGCGGUGAAAUGUUUAGAUAUCGUCAAGAACACCUAUAGCGAAGGCAGCUUACUAGGCUGUAACUGACGCUGAGGCACGAAAGUGUGGGGAUCAAACAGGAUUAGAUACCCUGGUAGUCCACACUGUAAACGUUGAUUACUCGCUGUGUGCGAUAUACAGUACGCGGCCAAGCGAAAGCGCUAAGUAAUCCACCUGGGGAGUACGCCGGCAACGGUGAAACUCAAAGGAAUUGACGGGGGUCCGCACAAGCGGUGGAGCAUGUGGUUUAAUUCGAUG
rnacentral:rRNA from 1 species